CAGUCGUACGAGAAAGGGGCUUCGGCCCUGAGUAGAGUGGCGCACGGGUGAGUAACGCGUGGGUAAUCUGCCCUUGGAUUUGGGAUAACUCUGCGAAAGUGGAGCUAAUACCGGAUGGACUGGCUUUGUAAUGAUAAGUCGGUAAAGGAUGCCUCUGCAUAUGCAUUCGUCCGAGGAUGAGCCCGCGUCUCAUUAGCUAGUUGGUAGGGUAAUGGCCUACCAAGGCAACGAUGAGUAGCUGGUCUGAGAGGAUGAUCAGCCACACUGGAACUGAAACACGGUCCAGACUCCUACGGGAGGCAGCAGUGGGGAAUAUUGCGCAAUGGGCGAAAGCCUGACGCAGCAACGCCGUGUGAGGGAUGAAGGCUUUCGGGUCGUAAACCUCUGUCAGAAGGGAAGAACGGGUGAGGGUCUAACAGGCCUUUAUUUUGACGGUACCUUCAGAGGAAGCACCGGCUAACUCCGUGCCAGCAGCCGCGGUAAUACGGAGGGUGCAAGCGUUAUUCGGAAUUACUGGGCGUAAAGCGCACGUAGGCGGCCUUGUAAGUCAGGGGUGAAAUCCCACGGCUCAACCGUGGAACUGCCCUUGAAACUGCGGGGCUUGAAUCCUGGAGAGGGUGGCGGAAUUCCUGGUGUAGGAGUGAAAUCCGUAGAUAUCAGGAGGAACACCGGUGGCGAAGGCGGCCACCUGGACAGGCAUUG
rnacentral:rRNA from 1 species